CGGGAUGAUCUGGUCUUUCUUGCGCAGAAUAGGUGGGAGGCAUUGAAGAAGGUCUUGUGGGAUCUUUGGAGCCGAUCGUGAGAUACCACUCUUUUAAAGCUCGGAUUCUCACUCUCUACCGUAAUCCGGGGAGAGGACACUCCCAGGUGGGCAGUUUGACUGGGGCGGUCGCCUCCUAAAAGGUAACGGAGGCGCACAAAGGUUUCCUCAGAUCGGAUAGAAAUCGAUCGAAGAGUGUAAAGGCAAAAGGAAGCUUGACUGCGAGACGUACAAGUCAAGCAGAGACGAAAGUCGGUCUUAGUGAUCCGACGAUCCUGAGUGGAAAGGUCGUCGCUCAACGGAUAAAAGUUACUCUAGGGAAAACAGGGCUGAA
rnacentral:rRNA from 1 species